CUUUCAAGGAUACAGUUUAAUAGAGAGGACAACUACAGACUCAGUCAGGGGAGACAAACAGAAAUAGACCCAGCCUUUGCUGCCUUAGAGUGUGGUGGGCUCAGGAGUGAUAAGCAGACAUUAUUUUGCUCUGGACUCAGGAUGAAGAAUGGAAGAUGCUGGCAGAGCAAGACCAAGUAGAAGAAGGGAAGAGUGGUAACUGCCACCAUGAAAAUUUGUUUACAUUACGGUAUAAAGCAUGUCAUCUGAAAUGUAAAAGGAAGAUACAUCUAUUGGCCUAAAGUUAGCUGCUUGUCUGAUUUUACCCAGUUAACUGGCUUCAGCCUGCCAGAUCCUAAGUUGCCAGUGGCUUUGAGUACGUGACGUCCUGGAUCCUCCUCAAGACAUUACACUUCUCUCUGCAGUCCAUUUAUACUGGAUGGAAUUUGCCUUGACUUAUCUGCAAAAAUCAGCAAAAGGCAUAUCUUUUGUGUAUAAUGACUCAAUGGUUAGGAUUAGAUACUGAUGUUAGUGAGGAGGAAUUUUUGAAGGGGAACCUGAUUUUUUUUAAGUGGUCAGUUCAUAGUCACUAUUUUCACAUAAUGAUGACUUUUGCUUCCCUGCCUAAAUAUUCAAUAUGGAUGUUGGGAUUUCACAGGCACUAUGUGGGCCCAGGGACUGCCUGUGUUACAUCAUUCUUACAGAUCUUUACCAAAGGCUCUAAGACCUUGGGGAGCCUAUGGACCCCUGCAGGUUUGCCCAUCUACUCCAACUUGUCAUUUUACAGCUGGGGAAACUGAACCUGAAGAGAGGGUGGAACUUGUCCAAGGACACACAUAAAAAGUUAUCUUUCGAAGGAGCUGUUUAUUUAAGAACAACGCUUUAGAUUCGGAAAGACGUGGUUCUAAUCUCAGCAAUCUCUCUGACAAGCUACAACCUUGUGGAAGCUCAGUUUUAUCUGCAAGGUAGGACUAAUAACAGUAGAGCCUGCAUGGUGGGAGUAGAGAUGAGAAUGUACGCAAAACGCUUACCACAGUGCCCGCCCAUGGUAAGGGCUCAGUGAAGAGUGGCUGCUAUCAAGAUGGACCCGGGAUCCAGCUCUCCAGCCAGAAUCCACCAUGAGUUGAGAUCUUCUGUGACCAAUGAUCUUAAUGGGGUGGCAACCAUGGAAAUAGCUCUGUGGUGGGAGGCCACACAUGACAUUAUUCAAGUUUUGCAACUAACUGUGUGACCUAGGACCAUUCACUUGUUCAACAAAUAUGUACCUGCUACCUACUGGCAGGUGCAGUAGUAAAGAUUUAAGGGUGGAAGGAGACACAGCCCCUCCCCUCAGUUCUGUACACAGAGAUCUGCACUGAUGGGAGAGAGAGAGAGAGAGAAGGGGCAUCUUAACAGCAGCAUGUGAAGAUAGGAAGAGAUUACUUCCUGGAGGAGGGAGCGAAUAAGCUGAGACCCAAAGGAUGGGCACUAAAUAGCCUAAAACUAAACUACCCAUAUAGUAGUCACUAGCUACAUGUAGCCACUGAGCACGUGAAAAAUGGCUGGUCUGAAUUGAUAUGUGCUGUAAAUA